AGCUAUAUGAAUUAAUAUAUAGUUAUUUCUGCUCAAUGAUUUAAAUAGCCGCAGUACUCUGACUGUGCAAAGGUAGCAUAAUCAGUUGGCUUUUAAUUAGAGUCUGGUAUGAACGAAAAUAUGGGUAGUAACUGUCUUAGCAUAUUUUUUCGAACUUAUUAAACAAGUGCAAAUGCUUGUAAUUUAACAAUAGACGAGAAGACCCUAGAAACUUGGACAAGUUUUUGUUGGGGCGACAGAAUUACACUUAACUAAUCUUAUAAUACACGACGCGAUGUUGAAAGAAUAAGUUACUCUAGGGAUAACAGCAUAAUUUCAUUAGUUUGUGACCUCGAUGUUGGACUAGGUACUAUACCCUUAAGGCAAGGAUAUAUUAUGCUCUGUUCGAGCAAAAUUACCUACAU
rnacentral:rRNA from 1 species